rnacentral:rRNA from 1 species
GAUGAACGCUAGCUACAGGCUUAACACAUGCAAGUCGAGGGGCAUCAGGAAGAAAGCUUGCUUUCUUUGCUGGCGACCGGCGCACGGGUGAGUAACACGUAUCCAACCUGCCCUUUACUCGGGGAUAGCCUUUCGAAAGAAAGAUUAAUACCCGAUAGCAUAAUGAUUCCGCAUGGUUUCAUUAUUAAAGGAUUCCGGUAAAGGAUGGGGAUGCGUUCCAUUAGGUUGUUGGUGAGGUAACGGCUCACCAAGCCUUCGAUGGAUAGGGGUUCUGAGAGGAAGGUCCCCCACAUUGGAACUGAGACACGGUCCAAACUCCUACGGGAGGCAGCAGUGAGGAAUAUUGGUCAAUGGGCGUUAGCCUGAACCAGCCAAGUAGCGUGAAGGAUGAAGGCUCUAUGGGUCGUAAACUUCUUUUAUACGGGAAUAAAGUAUCCUACGUGUGGGAUUUUGUAUGUACCGUAUGAAUAAGCAUCGGCUAACUCCGUG